rnacentral:tRNA from 1 species
GCAACGGUGGUUGAGUGGUAGAAUGCUCGCCUGCCACGCGGGCAGCCGGAGUUCGAUUCCCGGCCGAUGCA